ACGUAGGUGGCGAGCGUUGUCCGGAAUUACUGGGCGUAAAGGGCGCGUAGGCGGCUCUUUAAGUUAGAUGUGAAAACCCAGGGCUCAACUCUGGGACUGCAUUUAAAACUGAAGGGCUCGAGUGCAGGAGAGGUAAGUGGAAUUCCUAGUGUAGCGGUGAAAUGCGUAGAUAUUAGGAGGAACACCAGUGGCGAAGGCGACUUACUGUACUGUAACUGACGCUGAGGCGCGAAAGCGUGGGGAGCAAACAG
rnacentral:rRNA from 1 species